CUCCGCCGACGCCUAAGAGCAAGUUCAAUAGCCAACUGCUGGCUUAAAAUUAUCUAUAGCCAACUUAAUAGUUAAUUCAUACAAUAGUUACCUAUAACCAUAUACUACACAAUUAAUAUCAUAUCCCGCCUGUUAUACGCACAAGUGUCUUGAAGUCCGUGCUACAGCUGACUAUAAAUCUGUAGUCCGCUACUCUUCUCCUUCUUUUCGUAUCUUUUUAAAAUAUGUUUAUAGUUAACUUAUAGUCCGCUACUGUACAUGCUCUUAUCCCCGUCGCUGCUGCCGCUUCAUUCGAUGGCACAGCCACCGCUUGCUAUGCCACCAUCGCCAUUGUAGCCAGUGAC
rnacentral:lncRNA from 1 species